rnacentral:rRNA from 1 species
CCUGACUGCUAUCGGAUUGAUACUAAGCCAUGCGAGUCAUUGUAGCAAUACAAGGCAGACGGCUCAGUAACGCGUAGUCAAUCUACCCUAUGGACGGGAAUAGCCUCGGGAAACUGAGAAUAAUGCCCGAUAGAACAUUAUGCCUGGAAUGGUUUAUGUUUCAAAUGAUUUAUCGCCGUAGGAUGGGACUGCGGCCUAUCAGUUUGUUGGUGAGGUAAUGGCCCACCAAGACUAUUACAGGUACGGGCUCUGAGAGGAGUAGCCCGGAGAUGGGUACUGAGACACGGACCCAGGCCCUAUGGGGCGCAGCAGGCGAGAAAACUUUGCAAUGUGCGAAAGCACGACAAGGUUAAUCCGAGUGGUUUCUGCUAAAGAAACCUUUUGUUAGUCCUAGAAACACUAUUGAAUAAGGGGUGGGCAAGUUCUGGUGUCAGCCGCCGCGGUAAAACCAGCACCUCAAGUGGUUAGGAUGAUUAUUGGGCCUAAAGCAUCCGUAGCUCGUUUUGUAAGUUUUCGGUUAAAUCCAUGCGCUUAACGUAUGGGCUGCCGGGAAUACUGCAUAACUAGGAAGUGGGAGAGGUAGACGGUACUCGGUAGGAAGGGGUAAAAUCCUUUGAUCUAUUGAUGACCACCUGUGGCGAAGGCGGUCUACCAGAACACGUUCGACGGUGAGGGAUGAAAGCUGGGGGAGCAAACCGGAUUAGAUACCCGGGUAGUCCCAGCUGUAAACUAUGCAAACUCAGUGAUGCAUUGGCUU